UGAACGCUGGCUGCAUGCUUAACACAUGCAAGUCGAACGGCAGCACGGGAGCUUGCUCCUGGUGGCGAGUGGCGGACGGGUGAGUAAUGCAUAGGAAUCUGCCUAGUAGUGGGGGACAACCUGGUGAAAACCAGGCUAAUACCGCAUACGACCUACGGGUGAAAGCAGGGGAUCUUCGGACCUUGCGCUAUUAGAUGAGCCUAUGUCUGAUUAGCUAGUUGGUAAGGUAAUGGCUUACCAAGGCUACGAUCAGUAGCUGGUCUGAGAGGAUGAUCAGCCACACUGGGACUGAGACACGGCCCAGACUCCUACGGGAGGCAGCAGUGGGGAAUAUUGGACAAUGGGCGAAAGCCUGAUCCAGCAAUGCAGCGUGUGUGAAGAAGGCCUGCGGGUUGUAAAGCACUUUCAGUUGGGAGGAAAAGCUAAAGCUUAAUACGCUUUAGUGUUGACGUUACCAACAGAAGAAGCACCGGCUAACUCC
rnacentral:rRNA from 1 species